rnacentral:rRNA from 1 species
UGGGGAAUAUUGCACAAUGGGCGCAAGCCUGAUGCAGCCAUGCCGCGUGUGUGAAGAAGGCCUUCGGGUUGUAAAGCACUUUCAGCGGGGAGGAAGGCGAUAAGGUUAAUAACCUUUUCGAUUGACGUUACCCGCAGAAGAAGCACCGGCUAACUCCGUGCCAGCAGCCGCGGUAAUACGGAGGGUGCAAGCGUUAAUCGGAAUUACUGGGCGUAAAGCGCACGCAGGCGGUCUGUCAAGUCGGAUGUGAAAUCCCCGGGCUUAACCUGGGAACUGCAUUCGAAACUGGCAGGCUAGAGUCUUGUAGAGGGGGGUAGAAUUCCAGGUGUAGCGGUGAAAUGCGUAGAGAUCUGGAGGAAUACCGGUGGCGAAGGCGGCCCCCUGGACAAAGACUGACGCUCAGGUGCGAAAGCGUGGGGAGCAAACAGG